rnacentral:rRNA from 1 species
UACAGAGGGGGCAAGCGUUGUUCGGAAUUACUGGGCGUAAAGGGCGCGUAGGCGGCCUUCUAAGUCGAACGUGAAAUCCCCGGGCUCAACCCGGGAACUGCGUCCGAUACUGGAAGGCUUGAAUUCGGGAGAGGGAUGCGGAAUUCCAGGUGUAGCGGUGAAAUGCGUAGAUAUCGGGAGGAACACCUGUGGCGAAGGCGGCCACCUGGACGGUAACUGACGCUGAGACGCGAAAGCGUGGGGAGCAAACAGG